rnacentral:rRNA from 1 species
GGAUUGGAGUCUGCAACUCGACUCCAUGAAGUCGGAAUCGCUAGUAAUCGCAAAUCAGAAUGUUGCGGUGAAUACGUUCCCGGGCCUUGUACACACCGCCCGUCACACCAUGGGAGUGGGUUGCACCAGAAGUAGAUAGCUUAACCUUCGGGAGGGCGUUUACCACGGUGUGAUUCAUGACUGGGGUGAAGUCGUAACAAGGUAACCCUAGGGGAACCUGGGGUUGGAUCACCUCCUUA